UAUUAGUCUGCACACAGGUGUUCAUCUAUGUCAAGCGAAGAAAGACAUUCUGAAAGCGACGCUGUAGAAACGUGGAUAUUGUGGAGGUCGGCCCUCUGUGAAUCAAAGCCAUCAGAAACCACCAAAGCCAAAGUUAAAGAGUUCGAGCCCACACGUAUCAUGGGAAGUUCAUCUGAGACAGUCCCUCUUCUGGCUCGUCGUUUGCAGGGAAAGGAGGAGGAUUACGAGACGAGUCGGACGCCAUUUUCUUUGCUGUGAGGGUCGAUGACGUCACUGAGGCAGACGGCGAGGUGCAAGUUGUUGGAGCGACCUCUGCUGGUUGUAAUGGCACAUUACCAGAAGACUCAAUUUGAUAGUUCCAUGCACUUGACUGGUCCUUGCGUGAUGCAUUGAGAUGAACCAAUAUGUAUUUGAAAAGUUUUUAGUGGCUGUCUUACAUAAACGUGGAAAAACACUGAUGAAAACAUCAUUUGAUGGAAAAUUCGGUUGACCGUGGCUGUGAGCUGCAAGAAUCUCCCAUCAAAACUGUCAAUACCACAAGGUUUAGUACAUUUAAAGUUUAAAAUCGUUUUGUCAAGCUCAUAUCACUUUCAAUUCAAAGUUGCAAUCCUUAUCUACGAUGAAGUUUUUUUUAACGAUGGAAUCAGAAAUGUUACUGCACCCAGGCAACACAUUCUUAUACUAAUCACUUUAUUAACGAAAUAAUGAUUAAACUAGCUUGCAAUAUCAAAUGGUUUUGUUAUAUUACCGUCAAUUUCCAGAAAUCCACAUUUUAUUCAUUCAUGCCAAUCACCUUUUAAGUGUUUCCAUAACCUUUUCCCAUGUUUUUGCAAUAUAUAAUUUAGUUUUGUCUGUUCAUUUUGGUGAUUUUGUUCCAAUGAUCUGUAAACUUACCAAUUCCCUGCAUUUGUUUUGAUACAUUACCAUACUUUAUCAGAAAAACUGUUUCAUGCAGCAUCUGGUUCAUUAUCAAUCCAGGGGGCUUUAACUGAUCGAACGGACAACAUUUUAAUUGGAACAUGUUUAUCACAGAUAUCAGUAAAUUACUUCAUAAAAAUGAAUAAUGCAACAUCUGUGUGUGAGGAGUCCAGAACAUUUUGCCAGUUUACUUGACAUUUAUGAAAUCUUUUAGGUUUUAUAAAAAAAAUGUAAAUGUGAUUUUAGGUCCAGAUUUGGGAAGAUGUACCUAAUGUGGUGGCCAGUGCUACAACAAUUGCACACGUUGUCUAUUUGGCCUUGUUGGAUAUUUGCGCUGAAAUAAAACAUGAAAUGUU